AUGGCGGAACGAGCCAAUCUGGUCUUUCAUAAUAAAGAGAUAGACGGAACUGGUAUGAAACGACUUAUUAGCAGAUUAAUAGAUCAUUUUGGAAUGGGAUAUACAUCCCAUAUACUGGAUCAACUAAAGACUCUGGGCUUCCAUCAAGCCACUACUACAUCGAUUUCGUUAGGAAUCGAGGAUCUUUUAACAAUACCCUCUAAGGGAUGGUUAGUCCAAGACGCGGAACAACAGAGUUUUCUUUUGGAGAAACACUAUUAUUAUGGGGCUGUACACGCGGUAGAAAAAUUACGCCAAUCUGUUGAGAUAUGGUAUGCGACAAGUGAAUAUUUGAAACAAGAAAUGAAUUCAAAUUUUGGAUAA
rnacentral:rRNA from 1 species